rnacentral:rRNA from 1 species
GCAGUCGAGCGGUAGAGAGAAGCUUGCUUCUCUUGAGAGCGGCGGACGGGUGAGUAAUGCCUAGGAAUCUGCCUGGUAGUGGGGGAUAACGUUCGGAAACGGACGCUAAUACCGCAUACGUCCUACGGGAGAAAGCAGGGGACCUUCGGGCCUUGCGCUAUCAGAUGAGCCUAGGUCGGAUUAGCUAGUUGGUGGGGUAAUGGCUCACCAAGGCGACGAUCCGUAACUGGUCUGAGAGGAUGAUCAGUCACACUGGAACUGAGACACGGUCCAGACUCCUACGGGAGGCAGCAGUGGGGAAUAUUGGACAAUGGGCGAAAGCCUGAUCCAGCCAUGCCGCGUGUGUGAAGAAGGUCUUCGGAUUGUAAAGCACUUUAAGUUGGGAGGAAGGGUUGUAGAUUAAUACUCUGCAAUUUUGACGUUACCGACAGAAUAAGCACCGGCUAACUCUGUGCCAGCAGCCGCGGUAAUACAGAGGGUGCAAGCGUUAAUCGGAAUUACUGGGCGUAAAGCGCGCGUAGGUGGUUUGUUAAGUUGGAUGUGAAAUCCCCGGGCUCAACCUGGGAACUGCAUUCAAAACUGACUGACUAGAGUAUGGUAGAGGGUGGUGGAAUUUCCUGUGUAGCGGUGAAAUGCGUAGAUAUAGGAAGGAACACCAGUGGCGAAGGCGACCACCUGGACUAAUACUGACACUGAGGUGCGAAAGCGUGGGGAGCAAACAGGAUUAGAUACCCUGGUAGU